rnacentral:sRNA from 1 species
CGGGAGCCGGUUCGGUUGCGGGUGUCUCUGGCCCUGCGGUCAGCCCUGGGAACGUCCCGGAGAGCUAGAUUCCUAGAGGCCCGAUUCCGCUAGCCCGGAACAGACAAAGCCAGCGCUCCCGCCCGCUCCCCGACUUAGGAUCCGAUGCCGGCAGCGUCCUGGGGCCCCCGUAGCGGGGCUGGACCAUGAGCCUGCUGGACGGCCUCGCCUCCUCGCCGCGGGCUCCGCUGCAGUCCAGCAAGGCCAGGAUGAAAAAGCUCCCGAAGAAGAGCCAGAAUGAGAAGUACCGGCUGAAGUACCUGCGGCUGCGCAAAGCGGCCAAGGCCACGGUGUUUGAAAAUGCUGCUAUUUGUGAUGAAAUUGCUCGUCUUGAGGAAAAAUUUCUUAAAGCAAAAGAAGAAAGAAGGUACUUGCUAAAGAAGCUCCUCCAGCUUCAGGCUCUAACUGAAGGGGAAGUACAGGCUGCAGCUCCUUCCCACAGUUCCAGUUUGCCCCUGACUUAUGGUGUGGCCAGCUCUGUGGGAACUAUACAGGGAGCUGGGCCUAUUUCAGGGCCCAGCACUGGGGCUGAGGAACCAUUUGGGAAGAAAACUAAGAAGGAGAAAAAAGAAAAAGGCAAAGAGAACAACAAACUGGAAGCAGCAGCCCCUUGCUGAUCCAUACCAACCCCAGAAUAUCUCCAGUCCCUGCAAAACCAGAUCAUCACCGACCGACCUGGCUUUCAUGAUGA